GUAAAAGGACUUUUUCCAAAUCAUAACAUAAUUUAAAGGGAACGAUUUAAAUUAGCCAGAUGUAUUUUGUUCUGCAAAAGCAUUCAUAAAGAAACUGCCACUGCACAAUGAUGCAAGAUUUUUUUUGCUUGGUUUAUUAGCUGUUUUUUAAGAGGGAAUGAAAAAUUUUGGACAGAGAGUCUUAUAUUGAGACUAUGCAAAAUACAACAUAAAAAGAAAACAAUUGUUUACUGUUAUUUGUUUAUUUGAACUCUUCGUAGGAGCCUGUUUUUACCUCUUCAGUCAUCCUUUAUUAACUAGAUGUGUAUGGAACAGUAAAGAUCAUCAAAGAAAACAAAUUUGAAGGGUGUGAAAUAAACGUUCGGAGAGACUGAGGACUGCGAUUUAUUAGUAGCGUAUUAAACAAACUGCUCUUUUCAGAUGAUGAUGAUUAAAGACAGGUACAACACCAAUGGCAACAAAUGUCUGCAAAACCAGAAGGAGCUUCUGAGAUGGAAGAUGGAAACUAAAAUUGAAUUGCAACAGCAGUUUUGAAGAGGAAUGAAUCCCACUGCCUGAGAUCAGCUCCUAGGAAAGGAAGCACUGGUUUGUAAGGCAAGAUGAAGUCUAUAUUUAAUCUUAUUUCCCAGGACUGGAAACCCUCAUAACU
rnacentral:lncRNA from 1 species